CCUCAUCCCCUCAUUAGUGAGUGGAUGUAGUCUUUGUGUUCCCUCGUGUCUGUCUGUCAGAUCAUUACGUUUUCUCCUGUGUUUCAGCCCAGCUUCAGUGUCAUCUAGCUUCUCUCCUCAUGGAAUCAAGCCAACCCUUUGGAGUGAGUCAAAGAUGUUUGUUCUCCCUCCAGACAAGCUGAUGAUCACAUCUGCGCAUCCCUGGAUUUUAAUUACCUGAGAAACUUGACAAGAUGCAAUUCCCAUGCCAGUCCGCUGUGUGACUUCCUGCUUGGCUCCAUCUGCUCAAUGCAACUUGACGUGGAUGCUGUCCGCUUACAUCAGAAUUGACUUGGGUACGAGAACAGCCUGGUGAACUCUGGGGUUAAGCCUUCCAUUGUCAGACGGUGUCUCGCCAAUUAGAGGAAGAGGAGCCUUGGAGAGCUACCCUGCUAUGUCUUCCCUACGUUUCAGUCUGGAUAAUAGCUUGGGUUUGCCAGCGAGCGGUUAGCCAGUCACCGGGAUGUUUUCUCAAAGUAUAAUCAUCUCACACCGUGUCCACAUUCACUACAAAGAGAAGACGAUUACUCUCGCAGCAGGAGGUCACUGCUCAGGACAGCAAACACACUGGUCGCUUUGUUCCAACAAAAUGACCAAUGAUGUUGAUAUUCAGUGUCUCUUUGUGUCAGUGGAGCAUUUUAUAUUCCUUUUUAACAUUAAUAAAGCUGCAGUUAAAAGCAGCAGCACGUUAAAUCAA